CGUAAACAACCUGCCUUAAGGAUGGGGAUAACAGACGGAAACGACUGCUAAUACCGAAUACGUUCUAAGCAUCGCAUGAUGCAUAGAAGAAAGGGUGGCCUCUACAAGAAAGCUAUCGCCUUAAGAGGGGUUUGCGACUGAUUAGGUAGUUGGUGAGGUAACGGCCCACCAAGCCGACGAUCAGUAGCCGGUCUGAGAGGAUGAACGGCCACACUGGAACUGAGACACGGUCCAG
rnacentral:rRNA from 1 species